GGGUCAGUAGGUUGGUCGUGCCACCGGUACGUACUGGUCUCACUUAUCCCUCCUUCCUGAAGAACCGUAAUGCCAUUAAUUUGGUGUUGCGGGGAAACAGGACUGUUACUUUGAAAAAAUUAGAGUGUUUAAAGCAAGCUAACGCUUGAAUACAUUAGCAUGGAAUAAUGAAAUAGGACGAUCGAUCCUAUUUUGUUGGUUUCUAGGAUUGACGUA
rnacentral:rRNA from 1 species